rnacentral:lncRNA from 1 species
UUUCACUUGGAAACUAUGAAAUAAACAUCACGAAAACACUAGUGCACUAGAACUUCAUAACCAUAAUAAUUGAUCAUGACCUAACGGUUUUCCUUAUCAUAAUCCAUUAGCAUGUACUAUUUCAGCACAUCAAGCCUACUAAUUUAAUCCCACAAAACAUGCAUCAUCAAACUCUUGCCACUAUUUACCACCACACCAUUUAAAUUCAAGCCUAUAGUUUAGUAUCAAUUAUUUACCACCAAUGAAGAAU